AUGUCAUCCAUGAUAUAUGAUGAUGAGGACAUCAAUACCAUUGAUACACCCACAGCCCCUACUGUUAUACAUACUGGACCAAUUACUAGAGCUCGCGCAUGCCAAUUGAAUUAUCAGGUACUUUCGUUUCUUGGUAACGAUUCUAAUGUUCAUGAGAAUAUGAUGCUGCCUAAAUUGGAUACAUUUGUUUUGCUUACAAAUGAAGGGCCUAGCUUGGACAAGAAAGAUGAACCUUGGAGCAAGUUCAAGCAUGGAGAUGAUGGCAUGCGCAAGGGGAACAAGAACGGAGUUACAAGUGAUGAUUCCAGGAGUUUGAAGCCACCAUAA
rnacentral:rRNA from 1 species